GGCAAGAUGGCCGAGCGGUCUAAGGCGUACGCUUCAGGUGCGUAUGGGUAACACCGCGUGGGUUCGAAUCCCACUCUUGUCA
rnacentral:tRNA from 2 species